CAAGUCAAACAUGGCGAUUUGCAGCAGUUAGCGGAGCGAGCUUUGCGAGCCAACUUCGCAGUGCGUCAUGUAACAGCAUCUUUUCCCGCCCCGUAAUAAGUGGAGUUGUUGUUGACCAUUCAGUGCUGUCCGUGGAAGUUUGAGUGACCAUGCGAUUCAAUGAGAAGGAGAUGGCAACGCUCGCCGCUGGCGCUGCCGACAAGGAGGGCCGUCUGAACCACCGAAACCUGUCCUUCAGAGAAGUGUUCAAAGAACGGUGGUUCAAGUUGAAAGGAAACUUGCUGUUCUACUUUCGCUUGAAUGAACAUGGGGGUGUGUUUGAAAAAGAGCCCGUGGGCCUAUUUGUCAUCGAAUGCUGCAAGGUUCAGCAUGAACCAAACGUCGACUAUGCAUUUGCGUUUUCUAUAGCAUUCGUAGAUGAUGCGGACCGAAGGCAUCUGUUCACGUGCACGACGCAGAAGCACUGCGAUGAGUGGGUGAGCUGCCUACAGCAGGCUGGCUACGAAUACCAAAGGGGUCGCCUGCUCUACAUGCAGCAGAAGAUAUUGGAACUCACAGGACGGGACCCUUUGGCAGACUUCAUCAGUCGGCGGAAUGGCAAUGCUCCGGGGAGUGUACAGGCCAUUCAGAAGGCACCUGAAAGCAACAGCAGUGCUGCGGGCAAGUUCUUUGCAUUCCUUAGGACAUGGUAGCAUGUCCAGACGAUGCUUUUGCAUGCUGCAGCUAUGCUUGGGGUCAGUGUGUUGGCGUUGCUUUGCUUGCUCAGUUGCAGUUUCCUUCCUGCUUCGCCAUUUGACGAAGAGCUGCCUUGGAAUGUGUGCUUGCUGCUUUUGCGUCUGUCUUGGCUUUUUGCUGCAAUAAAUGAUGUGAAAAAGAGGACCACGAUAUGGCACUGAUAUGUGCCACCAGGUCACACUUCACCGUGGUCUCACAUUGCCAUCACCAUCAUUCCCAGCAUUGCCCAAGUCACACACUAUGCGAAGCAUCUCUGGUUCUGCUUCCACUAAUCAUCAUGACUUUUCUUGGGUGAAGUCGAGCCCCGUUUUUGACUUCUAGUGUUAAAUGCUGCAUUAUAUAUGUGCGUGUGUUAACGUCCCACCACUUGUGCCUACAAGUCACUCGUCUGGACCUUAUUAGGCUGCAACGUGAUCUUCAGAGUUCACUUGGUAACCCUGUUAAUUGUUUCUAAGAUACCAGAUAGCAUUGAAUAUUUCCUGGUGCUUCAUUUUAACACUGCUUGGUUCUUUUUGUUGUCUAAUAACGGUACAGAUUUCGUGGAACAAAUAGUUGACACAGUGAGCGGAGCACCUAGGGACCUCUACCUUAUGCACAAAGUGAUGACACAGUUUGCCAAAGACGUAUUCAGUAGUUUUCUGUUUUUCUUUCAUUAGUUGAGUACAGUUAUACAGGUCAAGUAGUGUAGCCAUUUGCGGAGCACAACAUCGUGUUUGUUGAAUACUGAAAAACAUCUCAACUUGACACCUUUAUUUCGGUCAUCAAAAUCAGUUCAUUUUCUUAGUUAAGAUAGGAAUUUAUGCUUUAUCUCUUAUCUGUGAUGCACAGCUGCUUACUACACAAGAAAAAGUAGGAAUAGAAGCAUUUAUCACUUUUUGCUACUCUGACAGAGUGAAAAAGUGUUUUUGGUAGACGGCUGGCAGCACAGAUAAUGUCGGUUAUGGCAUAAAAAGAAUAAAAUGACAAUCCCAGUGGUUCAGUGGGCCUCCCUUAUUGUCGUAGCCUCUCUGGUCAUUAACCUAGGCUUCUGAAUAUGAGGUUCUGCCUUUUUUUUUUGGUUUCGCGGAAGACCUAGUUUACAUAGGAAAGGAGCCACUUUAGUAUUAGUUGAUGCUUUUAAUGCCCUCCUUUGCUAAGCAGAGCUACAUUGAUCGUAAAUUUGGUGAGAGCACCACAACUGUUGGUAUACGAGACGAUAUCGUCAUCACCGAUCCCGAGUCGUUGCCGCAUUCAAUGCUGUUGUUAGACAAAUGAAGACAGAAGUGAAGCUAGGGGUGUGUGAAUAGUGAUUUCUGGGGCCAUAUCGAAUACUUUUUUAUAGUUCUCGAAUACCGAAUAGCCAUUUAUAUAAAUAAUAUAAAAUUAUCACAUCCUGGUGUUCAUAACUUUAUCAUUAAUUUUAGCAUCGGGAACAAAUACGCAUGCACAGAUUUCUUCAGAGUGUGUGUGAUGAUCGUGUAUUUGGCAAAGUCUAGCUGCAGGAAUGAGAUAUGCGGGGAUAAAAGUUAUCACACUUCUGCGUCUGUUUAGUGCUUAUUUCAGUGCAGUUCACAUUUUUAAAUGUCCUUAAACUAUUUUAAAAAUAUUUGCUUACAUAUAGCUCUUGUUUGAUUAAAAAAUUUUGAAAUUCACGCACCUCUAGUCAAGAUUGAAAAGGCUGUGUAUGUGUGAUCGUAGUGAAGCCGUUAUGAGGCACUAAUGGCGCAAAAGUGGUUUAUGCAAGGGACAUAAUGAGGUAAAUGAUGUGAAUUGAAGGAAUUGAAAUAUUCAAACCACAAUAGAAAAUGUUGACCAGUUGCACUUUAAGUGUAAACCGGAAGUGAGUCAACCAUGGCCCUAUAGUCAACCAGAGGUGAUUAAGUCCGGGAGUGGGAACCAGAAGUGCAAUUAAGACUAGAAUUUGGUGCACGGAAGUCUUUUAACUGCAGUUGGAUAAGACCGGCAAGUCACGUGCAGGAAGAGAGAGGCAACGCCAAUGGGGAGGGGGUAGUUCAAAGUGAUGCCACAAAAGUCUGCAAAGAACUGCGGAGUGAUCCGCGAAGAUAAAAAGGGUGCGAUGUGACGGUCACGCAUUUCUCUCGCAUUUACCACUGAAUCGCCACCUAAAGUUUUUCCCCAUGUACUCUAAAACUUCCUUGUGAUGUUCACCAUUCCUGUAGCCAACCGCUGAGCUACAAGCUUGCACUGUAGCAAAAAGCACAAUGCAUACAUUAGCUUUGUUUGUUUUUCACUGAGUUAUUGCACUGCAGUUCAGAACCGCUUCGUAGCUACUAUUAACAAGCUAUGUCCCUUAGACGGGUAAACUCGCACUGUGCUUGACUUUUUUACUUUUUCAUUUGGCAAGUUUGUAGUUUAGUUCAUCCCCAUACUAUACAAUGCAUAGUUUCAUUUGAAUGACUCUGUAACCCAACUCAUAGUCACGGUUGCAUCAUUUCUUCCUGUCUUGUGGUACAAGACACAUAAGGAAAAUUGCUUCAUGCCCAGAAGCUGCUUUAAUAGGACACUAGGAGAAAUCUCAAUUAAGAUGAGACUGAGCUUUCUCAGAACCUUAUUUGCAGUCAGCCUUGAUGGCUUAGCCAAUAAAGCUAAGUUUGAAGACGCACAUUCUUUCUCAGUCACAGCGGGCACAUUUCAGUGGGGGAGAAACUCUGGAACUCUCGUGCACAUACGUUUAGGUCCACAUAAAAGACCUCGGUCAUUUAAAAUUAACCUGAAAUCCUCCACCACGGCAUGCGUUGUAAUCCUGUGGUAUUUUUGGCCCUGUAAACCCCAGAAUGUAAUUUUAAAAUUUUAACCUUAUUUGCAUUUCUCGUAAAAAAGUUCGAAUGUCAGGAAAGAGGUUAUGCCCUUUAAUACUGAGCCAAAACCAUGGCGGGGAUGUUAUAUGUGGGCUUUGCGUAGGAAAACGUUAAGACGUUGCCCACUAAAGUAGCUGCUUGUUUUUUUAAGGCAUCGUAUAACCUUUGUUUGUUCGCAAGUAACCAGUCUUGAGCAUGCCUUGUCAAGGUCCACAAACAUCCCAUAGAUUUGGUGGUGCUGUGAACUGGCUUGUUUUCUAGCUUCUUUUUCUGGCUUGCAAUUGGUCAUGUUAUAGCCACACGGGACUUGUUCCACACGCAUAAGCGUGACAUAACAUUAAACUUGCCAUUUCUCCAUAGCGGCCCUUUAAGGUACAUACAGAACAGACUGAUGGUUGAAAUCUAGCGUGACCUCAUAUCAGAAGUGGCUUGGUCUCCGUGGUGCCCUUUUGAAUGCACUGUCACUACAUUCCACUAGGAAUGGCACUUUGAGUACCUGUAUUGUGGAAACGAGGCCGGCAUUUCACAGUUUUGCUGCCAAGAAUCACUCUCUUCACGCCAUUGCUGUGUGAAUGUGUAUUUUGUGCCUUUGUUGCCACGUGCCUCGUAGAAGCACUUGUGAUGAUUGCUAGUUGCAGAAUGUUCCAAAUGUAGCAGUCCCCAGUACCACCGUCAUUUGCUGAAGCGCUGUACGUAUAUAGUAUAUUCCGAGGUGAAAGGCGCAUAGACGACACACAUAAGAGAGAUGCACAUACAAGGCACUGAUGAAACACUUCACAGAAUGCCCUGUGUGCUAGGAAUAUAAGACUUUCGGUAUUAAAAUGGGCGCGUUGGUUUGGCAUAUUCACAGACGCAAGGCACAUAGACAACACACACGAGAGAGACACACUCACAAGCCGCCUACGUCUUCCUCGGAAUAUGCUAAACCAACACACCCCAUUUUUCCAUCUUGACAUUGUAUUGUUUGCUACGUAGUGAA